UACGUAGGCAGCGAGCGUUGUUCGGAUUCACUGGGCGUAAAGGGUGCGUAGGUGGCAUGGCCAGUUUGAUGUGAAAGCUCAGGGCUUAACCCUGAAAUGGCAUUGAAUACUGCUGUGCUGGAGGUUUGGAGGGGGGACUGGAAUUCUUGGUGUAGCAGUGAAAUGCGUAGAUAUCAAGAGGAACACCAGUGGCGAAGGCGAGUCCCUGGACAACACCUGACACUGAGGCACGAAAGCCGGGGGAGCAAACAGG
rnacentral:rRNA from 1 species